CGCUGAAACACUGGUUCUUGUACAAUCAUUGAAGCUAAGCAAUGUUGAGCCUGGUCAGUACCUAGAUAGGUGACCACUUGGGAAGACCAGAUGCUGUAA